AUGACGGUAGUCCCACCCGUGUCGAUUCGUGCGACCCUCCCAUGCUGGGUCGACCCAUGUAUUUUGUUGCUUUGGCGGGCCGGGUUUGCGCCCCGUUCGGCGUCCGCUGUGGCGCUGGGGGAGCCGCCCACCGGCUUCGGCUGGAGCGUGCCCGCCAGAGACCUCAUCCAAACUCACGUUGUCAUGUAGUCUAAGCUUUAUUAAGUAAUUGAUAAAACUUUCAACAACGGAUCUCUUGGCUCUGGCAUCGAUGAAGAACGCAGCGAAAUGCGAUAAGUAAUGUGAAUUGCAGAAUUUAGUGAAUCAUCGAAUCUUUGAACGCACAUUGCGCCCCUUGGCAUUCCGAGGGGCAUGCCUGUUCGAGCGUCAUAACACCCCCCUCAAGCUGCCCUUGUGGUGGCUUCGGUGUUGGGGCUCGUCGCAGUUUUGCGGUGGCCCUUAAAGACAGUGGCGGUCCCCGCGUGGGCUCUACGCGUAGUAACUUGUUCCUCGCGACAGAGUGACGCUCGUGAUCAGCCAGAACCACCCACCUUUGUCCGGUCAUCCGGAUUGACAGGUUGACCUCGAAUCAGGUAGGAAUACCCGCUGAACUUAAGCAUAUCAAUAAGCAGAAUGAAAACUUAAUUGACAGGUUGAC
rnacentral:rRNA from 1 species